UAGGGAAUCUUCGGCAAUGGGGGGAACCCUGACCGAGCAACGCCGCGUGAGUGAAGAAGGUUUUCGGAUCGUAAAGCUCUGUUGUUAAGGAAGAACGAGUGUGAGAAUGGAAAGUUCAUGCUGUGACGGUACUUAACCAGAAAGGGACGGCUAACUACGUGCCAGCAGCCGCGGUAAUACGUAGGUCCCGAGCGUUGUCCGGAUUUAUUGGGCGUAAAGCGCGCGCAGGCGGUUAGAAAAGUCUGAAGUGAAAGGCAGUGGCUCAACCAUUGUAGGCUUUGGAAACUGUUUAACUUGAGUGCAGAAGGGGAGAGUGGAAUUCCAUGUGUAGCGGUGAAAUGCGUAGAUAUAUGGAGGAACACCGGUGGCGAAAGCGGCUCUCUGGUCUGUAACUGACGCUGAGGCUCGAAAGCGUGGGGAGCGAACAGG
rnacentral:rRNA from 1 species